CCUACGGGAGGCAGCAGUGGGGAAUAUUGCACAAUGGGCGAAAGCCUGAUGCAGCCAUGCCGCGUGUGUGAAGAAGGCCUUCGGGUUGUAAAGCACUUUCAGUCAGGAGGAAAGGGUGUGAGUUAAUACCUCACAUCUGUGACGUUACUGACAGAAGAAGCACCGGCUAACUCCGUGCCAGCAGCCGCGGUAAU
rnacentral:rRNA from 2 species